UUGGGGACUCCUAAAUUUUGAUAGAUUUCAUUAAAAUCUCAAUUGAUAACACCUAAAUAUACAAGGAUUUUUAAAAUCCAUCACAAUUUCAAUUGAGAAUAGCCCCUAAAUUAAGAAUCAUAUUAGUUUUCUCAAUUAAAAGUAUAGAUAAAACAAUCAUUUUGACCUUAUCAAACAAAUCAUUUGCGAAAAAAAGUAGAAAUAUAGUUUUGAUAUGAAGGAACGGUACAAUAUUUAGAGCAAAAUACUUAUUUGAGAAAAACAUACAAGUGCAAGAAUUUUGGGACAGUGAAGACCAAUCAAGAUAACAGAGUUCCGACUUUUCACCGAUUCUACGAAUGAAAAAACAGAGUCCAUGAAAUGUACAAUUUAUAUAUACACAAUGAGCAUGCCAUAUAUAAGUUUCUCUCUGUGCCUGUGUUUGUGUUUCUUCAAUUAAUUCUUUGUCAGAUUUAUAUUUCACAAUUUUUAUUCUAUGUCAAUCGAACUUUUGCUUUACUUGUUUCACAAAGAAAUAAAGUCAGACAAAUGCUAAGUGAUCGUGCUUUCCAUAUUUGUUUCUAGAAGCAUGUCUAUAUAUAUAUAUAUCUCAAAUGAGGUAGUUGUGUAUAGAUUUGUUAAGAAAACCAUAAGGGAAAAAUUGCUCACCCGACCAGUAAAUCUAAAAUAAUAUACAAGGACAAAUAAAAAUGAAUCCCGGGAUCAAUUUGUAUUGGAAGAAAAACUAAUUCCAUCAACAAGAAUUUUAUAAUCAAUAUCAACUAUCCCUUUUCUAUUAUUGGUUUUUUGUUUUACUUUUUAACUAGUUAUUGUUACUGUUUAAUUUCACAGAAUGGUGUCGACUUAACAAACAUGAGAAGCUAGGCAUUAUACACUCUUUAAUUCCACAGAAUAUCAAGAAUUCGUACACAUAAAAGAGGACAAGCCUUUAGAAGUGAAUGAUUUGGUCAAAGAGAAACUACAAAAAAGUAGUUCAAAAUGUAGUGAAGUAAUCGACUCUUUCUUCGAUUCUCUUUGAAAGUGCCACCUUCACUAUUUUCUUUGUGAAUUUUUUGGGAGCAUUGAUGAGUAACCUUUGUGGUCACCGAAAGGUGUUGUUUUGCCAUAGUGAGUUUGAGAUGCAUUAGCAGUGAGUUGGAUGUCUUUUGGCAAGGUGGAGUAUAGAUGCCUAGAGGUGCAUUGAUGAUAUGCACGAGGGAUGUAGAGUGUGACAUUUGGAUCACGAGUGGAGAUGUGAUCAAAUGUGUUCCUUUAUCUGUGAAAGAGACCCUGUACAGGUGGAGUGUGAGAGAGACACUUCUAUCACUUCUGUAAGGUGGAAUCUCAUUAUCUACAUAGGUUAGGAGAAAUGACGUGGUGAUAGAGAAUUAUUCCUGAGCUUAGGAUCUAUUGUGACUUGCCAAUUAGAUAUGAGUUAAGUGAUUGGUUUAGUGAGCAUGGUGGACGAUGAGAGGAGAUAUGUAUUCUCGAGGUGGGAGUAACACGGAAUGGGAUAGGAUAAAUGUGGUGAGAUUUUUCAUAGGGUCAUUUAUGCAUUUGUUGCAUAUGUGCAUGACCGUGUGUUGAUUAACUAAGUGUUAAUUUGUGGUUUUGUGUGAACGUAGUUUUGAAAAGAUCUCUGUGUGUGUUAUCCUAUAUAUAUCUUCAUUACAUGAUUGUUUGUUCACUGUGAAUACUUGUUUCUACUUGGGUGUUCUUGACCUUAGCCCUGGUGAGUACAUGGAGCAAGUAUCGUAUGUGUUUCAAGUUGGAAACACGAGGUAAGGUCUGUUAUUCCAAUUUUAUUGGAUUAUCUUGAUUGUGCAAGUAUAAACUGUGUGUUUUGAUUGCUUGCAGAUUAUUGGGCAUCAAGGUGGAGAUUGUUGGAUUUUUUGAUACCCAAUAAUCCGGGUGAUGAUUUAAAACAGUUAUCGGAUUAUUUAUCGACACCAUGGACUUGGCUCAACUCGAAGAUGAACUACACUUUUGGAUAGUUCGGGUUUGGGUUGGAUGAUUAUUUGGUUAGUUGGACCAUUUAGUGAUUAAUAUGGAAUUGAAUAUUGGCCCGUUAGUUUAGGUUAAUUGGUAACCCGCUUAGUGAACCCUAGGCCCAAUUAGAGUGACCUAAACUAACCUAUAUAUAUGUAUUUACCUCCCAACCGUUUUUGGUGGUGUGUGUGUGUUGUAGCAAUGGAGAGGAGAGUUGAGAGAAGAGAGGCAACCGAGAGAGAGGGAAGCCAUGUGUAGUUGUGAGUGAGAUUCAACCAUUGUGAUAUCUUCGUCUUCCUCUCCAUACUUUUGUGGAUUGCUAACACCACCACCCUUCUCCUUUGUGGGGAUAGAGAGAAAGAGAGCAGUCCAAAGUGAAGG
rnacentral:lncRNA from 1 species